rnacentral:rRNA from 1 species
CAAGUCGAACGCGAAAGGGGGGCAACCCCCAAGUAGAGUGGCGAACGGGUGAGUAAUACAUCGGAACGUGUCCAGUAGCGGGGGAUAACCUCUCGAAAGAGAGGCUAAUACCGCAUACGUCCUACGGGAGAAAGAGGGGGAUCGCAAGACCUCUCACUAUUGGAGCGGCCGAUGUCGGAUUAGCUAGUUGGCGGGGUAACGGCCCACCAAGGCGACGAUCCGUAGCUGGUCUGAGAGGACGACCAGCCACACUGGAACUGAGACACGGUCCAGACUCCUACGGGAGGCAGCAGUGGGGAAUUUUGGACAAUGGGCGCAAGCCUGAUCCAGCCAUGCCGCGUGAGUGAAGAAGGCCUUCGGGUUGUAAAGCUCUUUCGGCUGGGACGAAAAGGUCCGUGCUAACACCACGGAUCCAUGACGGUACCAGCAGAAGAAGCACCGGCUAACUACGUGCCAGCAGCCGCGGUAAUACGUAGGGUGCAGGCGUUAAUCGGAAUUACUGGGCGUAAAGCGUGCGCAGGCGGUCUAUUAAGACAGGUGUGAAAUCCCCGGGCUUAACCUGGGAACUGCGCUUGUUACUGAUAGGCUUGAGUGUGGCAGAGGGGGGUGGAAUUCCACGUGUAGCAGUGAAAUGCGUAGAGAUGUGGAGGAACACCGAUGGCGAAGGCAGCCCCCUGGGCUAACACUGACGCUCAUGCACGAAAGCGUGGGGAGCAAACAGGAUUAGAUACCCUGGUAGUCCACGCCCUAAACUAUGUCAACUGGUUGUCGGGGAAGCAAUUCCUUGGUAACGAAGCUAACGCGUGAAGUUGACCGCCUGGGGAGUACGGCCGCAAGGUUAAAACUCAAAGGAAUUGACGGGGACCCGCACAAGCGGUGGAUUAUGUGGAUUAAUUCGAUGC